UGCAAGUCGAACGAAGUAGCAAUACUUAGUGGCAGACGGGUGAGUAACAUGUGGGUAUCUGCCCUUUGGCCUGGAAUAACACGAGGAAACUUGUGCUAAUACCGGAUAAGUCUUUACGGAGAAAGCUUUAUGCACCAUUGGAUGAGCCCGCACUUGAUUAGUUUGUUGGUGGGGUAAUGGCCUACCAAGACUGUGAUCAAUAGCUGAUUUGAGAGGGUGAUCAGCCACAUUGGGACUGAGACACGGCCCAAACUCCUACGGGAGGCAGCAGUGGGGAAUCUUGCACAAUGGGGGAAACCCUGAUGCAGCGAUGCCGCGUGAGUGAAGAAGGCCUUUGGGUUGUAAAACUCUUUCGUCGGGGAAGAAAAUGACUGUACCCGAAUAAGAAGGUCCGGCUAACUUCGUGCCAGCAGCCGCGGUAAUACGAAGGGACCUAGCGUAGUUCGGAAUUACUGGGCUUAAAGAGCUCGUAGGUGGUUAAAAAAGUUGAUGGUGAAAUCCCAAGGCUCAACCUUGGAACUGCCAUCAAAACUUUUUAGCUAGAGUGUGAUAGAGGUAAGUGGAAUUUCUAGUGUAGAGGUGAAAUUCGUAGAUAUUAGAAAGAACACCAAAUGCGAAGGCAACUUACUGGGUCACUACUGACACUGAGGAGCGAAAGCAUGGGUAGCGAAGAGGAUUAGAUACCCUCGUAGUCCAUGCCGUAAACGAUGUGUGCUAGACGUUGGAAAUAUAUUUUCAGUGUCGCAGCGAAAGCAUUAAGCACACCGCCUGGGGAGUACGACCGCAAGGUUAAAACUCAAAUGGAUUGACGGGGACCCGCACAAGCAGUGGAGCAUGUGGUUUAAUUCGAAGAUACGCGCAGAACCUUACCAACACUUGACAUGUUCGUCGCGAGACUAAGAGAUUAGUCUUUUCAGUUCGGCUGGACGAAACACAGUGCUGCAUGGCUGUCGUCAGCUCGUGUC
rnacentral:rRNA from 1 species